AGCAGUCGCCGCGGGAAUACAGAGGGUGCGAGCGUUAAUCGGAUUUACUGGGCGUAAAGCGUGCGUAGGCGGCUUUUUAAGUCGGAUGUGAAAUCCCUGAGCUUAACUUAGGAAUUGCAUUCGAUACUGGGAAGCUAGAGUAUGGGAGAGGAUGGUAGAAUUCCAGGUGUAGCGGUGAAAUGCGUAGAGAUCUGGAGGAAUACCGAUGGCGAAGGCAGCCAUCUGGCCUAAUACUGACGCUGAGGUACGAAAGCAUGGGGAGCAAACAGGAUUAGAGACCCCGGUAGUCCCUGUCUCUUAUAC
rnacentral:rRNA from 1 species